rnacentral:rRNA from 1 species
UACGUAGGGUGCAAGCGUUAAUCGGAAUUACUGGGCGUAAAGCGUGCGCAGGCGGUUUUGUAAGACAGAUGUGAAAUCCCCGGGCUCAACCUGGGAACUGCAUUUGUGACUGCAAGGCUAGAGUACGGCAGAGGGGGAUGGAAUUCCGCGUGUAGCAGUGAAAUGCGUAGAUAUGCGGAGGAACACCAAUGGCGAAGGCAAUCCCCUGGGCCUGUACUGACGCUCAUGCACGAAAGCAUGGGGAGCAAACAGG